rnacentral:tRNA from 1 species
ACUGGGCUGGCUCAGUCGGCAGAGCAUGCACCUCUUGACCUCAAAGUCAUGAGUUCAAGCCUCAUGUCAAGCA